AUUUCUAUCAACGUCAAUUUGAGUAUUGAAUUAUGAAUUCUAUGAGUUUAAAAAUUUGAACAAGCAAUAAUACUAUCAAAAAUUACCGAAAGUUCAAUUAAUUAUUAGCCAAUAUUAACUUUUAAUGAAGAAUCCUUCGAAAUUAUGACGGAUGCAUCAAUGUAUAUUAUCGGAGCCGUAUUAACUCAAAACAGCCACCCCAUACCCGAACCUUAAAUUCAGCCAAAAUUAAUCAUACAUCCAUUGAAAAAAAAUUAUUUGCAAUUGUUUGGGGAUGCAAAUUGUCUCGGCCAUAUUAUUCGGUCGAACCUUCAAAAUUUUUGCGGAUCAAAAACCAGUAGAAUGGCUCUUUUCUCUUAAAGAGCCGAAUACGGGUCUUAUGCGCUGGCGUUUUAAGUUAGAAGAAUUUGAAUACACUAUAAAAUAUCAGAGAGGAAAAUUGAAUUAAGUGGCAGACGCCUUGUCACGAUUGCCUCCUGAACUUGCUUUAGAAACCGUUAGUAUUUGUUAGUAUUAAUUUAGAUGAUAUUGAUUAAACUAUUCAACAAGAAAUUGAGAAGCGAAUAACCAUAUUUAUCCGCAAAUGACGUUGAUGAUACAUUGAAUGAUGUUAUCUAAAAUGUAAAGAUUCUACCACCAUUAUAAGAUUAUAAUCCAAAAACCAAUUCAGUGGCGGUACACAUAUCUAUAGAGAAUCCAAUCUUAUCCAUACCUAUCCUAUCGUAGAUCGAGCACCAAUCAAUACAAAAAUCAAAUAACUUUAGCAACCGGUGAUAUUCCUGAAACACUCGGUAAAUAUGAAAAUAUUUAUCGAAAAAAUAACAUCAAACAUUACUUUACCAAAAAGAAA